UGAAGUACAUUGUUUCAAUAAUCAUUUUUUAAAAAACCAUGUCUGUCUCUCAUUUUGUAAAAGUCUAGCAAUGGAGAUGCUCUGAACAUGAAGCUACGAUUAAAUGUGAUUAAUAUAUUUUUAUUAUUUUCAGUAUUCACUCCCAAGUACAGAUUUUGCAUAUAGUUGAUGCACUUGCAUAUGCAAAUUUGGUGUGCACACCAGUUGGAAAUCCACUGAAAAUUUGGGCCUCAAAGUAAGCUGAGACUAAAAUACCACAAGAUGAAAUAUUGCCAAAUAGCCUAUUGCACUUUGUGGUUUUUCAGCCAUAGGGCAUAUUAAGCAGGAACAGCAGCAGGUCCCAGCAAGGCUUUUUUAACUCCAUCUGCACUGGGAAUUUUGGCAAAAGUGGCCCUACUAGCCAGCCCCCAGAUAAGGAUGGAGGAGCAGGACAGCUGGCCACAGUCAAAAGGAGGAAGAAUCAAUUGGCCAACUGGCUGUCUCCUGAAGACUGAUUUGGGGAAAGGAAUUUGGUUGCCUCAGAAAGAGGAUACCAGAUUGGAAAGGACAACAGAACUCCUGGCUUCUGCAAGAAACAAGAGUUACUGCUUCCCAGGAUAGAGUCUCCCAUCCUAGUCUGAAGAGCACAGGAUAGUCUGUGUAAUAUUGCCUGAGAUGUUGAAAGCAGAAGAGAAGAGGAUGUAUUUUUUUUAAUAUCAAGAGAGCAACAUCAGAGUGCAUUGGCUCACUUGCUCCAGGAAUACAUGUACCCU